rnacentral:rRNA from 1 species
UGGUGGAGUGAUUUGUCUGGUUAAUUCCGAUAACGAACGAGACCUCAGCCUGCUAAAUAGUUACGCGAUUCCCGAAUCGCGGCCAUACUUCUUAGAGGGACUAUCGGUGAUUAACCGAUGGAAGUUUGAGGCAAUAACA